rfam:Schistosoma mansoni strain Puerto Rico chromosome 5, complete genome
AUCCAGUUGACGAGUCCCAAAUAGGACGAAAGUUGCGUCCUAGAU